GGUUGAUCCUGCCAGGAAGCACACUUAGGUCAUAGAUUAAGCCAUGCAAGUGUUAGUUCAGGUAACGAAACUGCGAAUAGCUCAUUAAUACGCUCAGAAUCUAUUUGGCGGCGACCAACAGGUCUUAAAUGGAUAGCAGCAGCAACUCUGGUGCUAAUACAUGCGAUUGUUUCUCCAGAUGUGAAUUAUGGAGGAAAAGUUGACCUCAUCAGAGGCACGCCAUUCGACUGAGUGACCUAUCAGCUUGUACUUAGGGUCUUUACCUAGGUAGGCUAUCACGGGUAACGGGCGGUUACCGUCGGACUGCCGGAGAAGGCGCCUGAGAGAUAGCGACUAUAUCCACGGGUAGCAGCAGGCGCGAAACUUUCCCACUCGAGACUUUCGGAGGAGGUAAUGACCAGUUCCAUUGGUGCCUUUUGGUACUGUGGAUAGGGGUACGGUUUUCCACCGUACCGAAACCUAGCAGAGGGCCAGUCUGGUGCCAGCAGCUGCGGUAAUUCCAGCUCUGCGAGUUUGCUCCCAUAUUGUUGCAGUUAAAACGCCCGUAGUCUGAAUUGGCCAGCAAUGGUCGUACGUAUUUUUACGUUCACUGUGAACAAAUCAGGACGCUUAGAGUAUGGCCACAUGAAUGACUCAGCGCAGUAUGAAGUCUUUGUUUUCUUCCGAAAACAAGCUCAAUGAGAGCCAUCGGGGGUAGAUCUAUCUCAUGACGAGUGGUGGAAUACUUUGACUCAUGAGAGAGAAGCUGAGGCGAAGGCGUCUACCUAGAGGGUUUCUGUCGAUCAAGGGCGAGAGUAGGAGUAUCCAACAGGAUUAGAGACCCUGGUAGUUCCUACCUUAAACGAUGCCGACAGGAGUUUGUCAUUUGUUAAUGGCAGAAUCUUUGGAGAAAUCAUAGUUCUUGGGCU
rnacentral:ncRNA from 2 species